rnacentral:rRNA from 1 species
GAUGAACGCUGACAGAAUGCUUAACACAUGCAAGUCAACUGUGGCGGACGGGUGAGUAACGCGUAAAGAAGUUGCCUCACAGAUAGGGACAACAUUUGGAAACGAAUGCUAAUACCUGAUACUGUGAGAGAGCUUUGCGUCCCAUUAGCUAGUGGGAGAGGUAACGGCACGCGAAGGCGAUGAUGGGUAGCCGGCCUGCGAGGGUGAUCGGCCACAAGGGGACUGAGACACCGCCCGUGGGGCUACGGGGGGCAGGAGUGGGGACUAUUGGACAAUGGACCAAAGUGUGAUCCAGCAAUUCGGUUUGCACGAUGAAGUUUUCGGAAUGAAAAGUGCUUUCAGUUGGGAAGCGUUACCAACAGAAGAAGUGACGGCUAAAUACGUGCCAGCAGCCGCGGUAAUUC